UACGUAGGGUGCGAGCGUUAAUCGGAAUUACUGGGCGUAAAGCGUGCGCAGGCGGCUUUGCAAGACAGAUGUGAAAUCCCCGGGCUCAACCUGGGAACUGCAUUUGUGACUGCAAGGCUAGAGUACGGCAGAGGGGGAUGGAAUUCCGCGUGUAGCAGUGAAAUGCGUAGAUAUGCGGAGGAACACCAAUGGCGAAGGCAAUCCCCUGGGCCUGUACUGACGCUCAUGCACGAAAGCGUGGGGAGCAGACAGG
rnacentral:rRNA from 1 species